GUGCCAGCAGCCGCGGUAAUACGAAGGGGGCAAGCGUUGUUCGGAAUUACUGGGCGUAAAGGGCGCGCAGGCGGCCGAUCAAGUCAGAUGUGAAAGCCCCGGGCUCAACCUGGGAAUUGCAUUUGGGACUGGUAGGCUAGAGAUCGGGAGAGGAGAGUGGAAUUCCCAGUGUAGAGGUGAAAUUCGUAGAUAUUGGGAAGAACACCAGUGGCGAAGGCGGCUCUCUGGACCGAUACUGACGCUGAGGCGCGAAAGCGUGGGGAGCAAACAGGAUUAGAUACCCUGGUAGUCC
rnacentral:rRNA from 1 species